rfam:Sistotremastrum niveocremeum HHB9708 unplaced genomic scaffold SISNIscaffold_6, whole genome shotgun sequence.
UCCUCUGUAGUCUAACGGCUAUGAUACCGGUUUUUCAAGAUACUUGACCACCGGCGGCCCGGGUUCGACUCCCGGCAGGGGAA